UACGAAGGGGGCUAGCGUUGUUCGGAAUUACUGGGCGUAAAGCGCACGUAGGCGGAUACUUAAGUCAGGGGUGAAAUCCCCGGGGCUCAACCCCCGGAACUGCCUUUGAUACUGGGUAUCUCGAGUCCGGAAGAGGUGAGUGGAAUUCCGAGUGUAGAGGUGAAAUUCGUAGAUAUUCGGAGGAACACCAGUGGCGAAGGCGGCUCACUGGUCCGGUACUGACGCUGAGGUGCGAAAGCGUGGGGAGCAAACAGG
rnacentral:rRNA from 1 species